AUAUUUCAGGAGGAUUUGCUUUGGAUUAGUCUAGUCUAGUCCUGUGGAGUUCAUGUUCAUCAGUGACUGAAGUGUUGAAAGGGCACCCGUGAGAAGCUUCUUUCAGAUAAGGUCCAUUUUGAAAAGCAUUCACUUUGUGUUCUCUGAGACUGCUCAGCCAUAUGAACCAAAGCAGGAAGUGUUUCUUCAGAAGAAGGAGAAAUAGUCUACCAACUUGAGAGUGAGAAAAGAACAGCUGGUUGAACAGUACUUACCCAGUGUUGUGUCCAAGCAGCUGGAACCAGAGACUGGAAUCAGAAAACACACUGUCCACACCUGCUACACUGUGGACUGAAAUCUGUACAUCCAUACUUCUGCUGAGCAUGCAAAUAAAGAGAACAGCACAGACUAGCAUGAGAAGGUGAUCUUCCAUCUGGAGGACGUUUCCUGGGACAGGGACCAGUAGUCCCCUGAGGGACCGUGUUGCCAGAAGGCUGCUGGAGGAGUUGGAGUGUGGAGGAAGCAGCUGGAAAAUAAUCCAGAUGAUGAAAAGGCUGGGCUGUGCCAAGAGCUGCUGGGGCAGAAGGAACACUGCAACAGAGCUGCCAAGUGCAUUAACAGGUUUACAUGCGAAUAAAUAGGAAGCAUUACUUUCGGAGCAACCUACAUAUAUCGUAUGCUUGAAAAUGUAUCUUUCUUCUAAAAACAACUAGCAAAGGAGUACAGUGGGAAGACAAUGGGAAAGCAAAUGCCUCCAAACCUAAUGUAGCAGUGAAAACAUGGAAAUAAAAAGCUUCUUGAAUGUGUUCUUAUCAUAACGUGCCUGGGAUAGCAAGUGUUUCUUUGAAAAAACACUGAAAAUACGUUUGGACAGAAGACAGUUUGCACAGACAGAAAUCUGCACAGAACAGGAUCGCUGUGUUUCAUGGCAAUUGAAAGGUCUCUGAUGAAGAGUGCUGCAGUUCCUGCAAUCAGUAGCCAGGAAUGUGGUGUGGGACCAGUCAAAGGCAUACUGGAAUAGAAAUGUGUGCAUCGCAGAGUUGUGAUGGGCUACCACAGCUGUAAAAGAACAGUGCUGUAUCUGACUCUUCAUUCUGGUCCCACAAGAUCUUAGCUGGAUGUUGGUGGUAUUGCAGUAGAGUUUGAGCCUUCUCAUCAAUAUUCCGUUACAUUUUGUUGCCAUGUGACAGAUGGCAGCAGAGGGGCAGUCUGACAUAGUGGUGUCUAACAUGGAGUGCAUGUGAAGCAAAGAAUGAAUUUCUCCAUGCAGAAAAAACUGCACCCACUGGUAAUCAUCAACACUUGAUGAACAUUUAUGGAGACCAAGCAGUGGAUGUGAGCACAGUGAGGCGGUAGGUGGUGCAUUUCAGCAAUGGUAGCAGCAAUAGUAUGUCACCUCCGUUUGUGCAGAUUUUUAUGAGUGCAGCAUGCAGGCUCUUGUUCACUGUGGCCAAAAUGCACAGCUACUGGUGAUGACUGUGCUGGAAAUUUUUUUGUAACUGAGAAUUUGCUCUAUCAAGUGGUAUAAAUAUCAAAUGCUAUUGUGUUCUCUAUAUCCGUUGUAGUUUCCAUGGAAAUAAACAAGAGGCAUUACUUUGGAGUGAUCUACGUACGUAUUAAAGAAUCCCAUAUAUAUGAAAAUCAUAGGAAGUCCUCAAAGACAGAGACCAAAUAUAUGAAUUUAGUGUUUAAUUCCUCACUUUCUUGAAUUUUUGCCCCAGUGCUCCAUGAGAAUAAUGGGUAAGGGAGAAGAGUUCAGCUGUAACAGAUCCCGGAGGUAUGUAAGCCUCCUAAAACAGUUUUUCAUGAGCAAAAGCACUUUAAUGAGAAUUGUAAAAUGAAUGAUUACAGGAAUGCUACUGAUUCAAUCUGAAAUUAAUGCUAAUAGGAUUUAUUCUGUCAGUGAUAUUCAUUGUUAUCAACUGAGAUGUGCUUGAAAACAUUGUCUAUUGUAAUCUUGGAUGGAAAUCUUCAUGUGUCAUCCUCCUUUAGUUCCUGAUUCAGCAAAUCAGUUAGAACACACCUAAUUCUGAAUAAAAUUUUAAAUUUCACUGACUUCAGUAAGAAACAAAUAUCUGCUUUGUAUUAAGCACUUUUUAAAGGGUUUUUGCUAAUGUUACUUCCAACUGGCUUCCUUUUCUUUAGGGUUUGGCAGUCCAGUACUGUCUAAUUUAUUGCUUGUCAUACAACACAUCUUUCAUAACUACCUUUCAUGUUCCUUUGUUGUUCAGAUGUGUACUGGUGCUAUAAAUAAUGCUGUGUGUGAGUUUUAAAGAACAACUGCAAAUACCAUUGUGUGUUGUCAUUACAUUUGUGAAGGUUGAAGUUUAAUAAUUAUAUGAGGCACUAACUAAUGUUUGCAUUAUAUGUAAUAUGUCUUCAAUUCACUUGCAUUAUUUUUGCUUUUGCUAAGGGAAAAGGUGUUAUUGAAUGAAUUAGUUAUUUGAAAACACUGAAGAGGGUGUUUGCUUUAGAGCUGCAAAGGCUUCAGGCUUUUAAAGCUGUGACUGUUUCCUGAACAGAGGCUUGUCUUGCUUUGCUUCCGUCUAUUGCAAAGUCCCUCUGGGUGGAAAACUCAAGUGGAAUUGCUGCGAUGCUCACCUACAAUUGCAGGAGGGACUGUGACUUUCAGGCUUCUGGCAGCUGAGAACAGCAUCCUUGUAAAUGUAGAUGGGCUUAGGGCAGCAUUGCAAUUGCUCUUCGUUAGCUCGUGUUCUCUCAUUCUUCCUGUUGACUUGCAGGAUCUGUGCUGUAAGCACCUAACUCCUCCAGCAUACUACAUGUAGAGCCUACCUGCUGAAUCAGUGCCAUCUGUUGCAUUAGCUGGUGCCAUAUUGGUGAUGGAUAACUGAGAUGGAAAAGCUAAGUCCUGGUGAAUUCAUAAUUGCCCCAGUAAGGUUGCUUUUAUCACUGUACUCAGUAGAAUAUAUAAAUGACCAGAUGCUCCCAGUAAAACCCCUCAUUUAGGAGACACUGCCAUUUAUGGCAUGGACAAGUUAUAGGCAGUAAAAUGGAUCAUUAGCAACUGAGAGGCAGAACUUGAAAAAACAGCUGCUAGUGAAGUAGAAGGCAGGAUCCUUUUUUAUCAAAAGACAGGAAUUUAUUUGAAGUACUGGAUCUAAUACACCUCAGGCUCAGCGUGUUUCUUCUGAAUCCCAAGCAGUUCCUGCAGAAACACACCAGAGCUCACAGAGCCUCUGAAUUUAGUAAGCCAAAGGAUCGUGAAGUUUUGGUUCUUGACAGACAGUUUCUCUCUUUGGGCCAUUUAUCAAUUUGUGCAAAAGUUUGGAAAGGUGAAUUGGAAGACUGGGAGUGAAGAGAAGUCUCCAUGAGCUAGAAGACCCACUUUUUAACUUUCUCCACUUUAAGUUAGGAUACUGAAAUAUGUCUGUGUAGCAGCUGGGAAUACCUGAAGAUGCCACUAUGUUCCUGGAUACGAGACAGCAGAAAAUUCAGUGAUAUAGAUGAACCACUCAGUAGUGCGACUAAUACCAUGUUGAGCUUUUUGGAGUUUGUUGUUGGUUUUAUCCUUCCUCCAAGACUUUACUGAAACUAAAAGGGUGGGACUGGUGUGUCAGACACCUGUAAUCAUCUCAAGAGACCCUUCCUGCAGCCUCUGACCUCUGCAGGGGAUUUCCUUCUCAUUCUUGUGGAUAACACAUGGAGCUCUUGGCCCCAGAGGGCUUUGAUAAGCUCCCCUGUUCUGUGAGAAAUGCCAGCAAAGCCAGUCUUGCUAUUUGUACAGGAUAGAAGGGGCUUAUGAGCUGAAUAUACUUAGAGAAGAACCCAAAUGCAAUAGUGACAAAUGCUUUUAAAGCUUUUAUUUGAAGAUGGCUUUUAAAGAUGAAUAACAUUAAAUAAUAUAGGAGAUCCCUCAUGUGUGUGCAUCAAUAAAAAGUUCUGUUGCAUUUCAGUG
ensembl:lncRNA